GACGAACGCUGGCGGCGUGCUUAACACAUGCAAGUCGAGCGGAGAGGCCACUUCGGUGGUACUCAAGCGGCGAACGGAUGAGUAACACGUGAGUAAUCUGCACCUGGCUUUGGGAUAGCCACCGGAAACGGUGAUUAAUACCGGAUAUGACCACUUCUCGCAUGGGUUGUGGUGGAAAGUUUUUCGGCCAGGGAUGUGCUCGCGGCCUAUCAGCUUGAUGGUGAGGUAAUGGCUCACCAUGGCUUCGACGGGUAGCCGGCCUGAGAGGGUGACCGGUCACACUGGGACUGAGACAGUGCCCAGACUCCUACGGGAGGCAGCGGUGGGGAAUAUUGGACAAUGGGCGGAAGCCUGAGCCAGCAACGCCGCGUGAGGGAUGACGGCCUUCGGGUUGUAAACCUCUGUCAGUACCGACGAAGCGCAAGUGACGGUAGGUACAGAAGAAGCACCGGCCAACUACGUGCCAGCCGCCGCCGUAACAC
rnacentral:rRNA from 1 species